AUUUGGGUGGCGGACGGGUGAGUAACGCGUAAAGAACUUGCCUCACAGUUAGGGACAACAUUUAGAAAUGAAUGCUAAUACCUGAUAUUAUGAUUUUAGGGCAUCCUAGAAUUAUGAAAGCUAUAUGCGCUGUGAGAGAGCUUUGCGUCCCAUUAGCUAGUUGGAGAGGUAACGGCUCACCAAGGCGAUGAUGGGUAGCCGGCCUGAGAGGGUGAUCGGCCACAAGGGGACUGAGACACGGCCCUUACUCC
rnacentral:rRNA from 1 species